CGAACUGCGUUGUUCCCCUCGCCGCCCGCUCCACCUCACACUGCGAGCCGCGCGCCUCACAGCCGCACGCGGCACUCGGCCGGAGCCAACGCCCGCACCCGCGGGGCCACCGCCGCCGGACCCGCCUUGCCGAGGGGCUCCCGGCUCCCUCCCGCCCUCACGCAGCACCUCCCUCGCCUGCCUCCGCCCCCCAGUCGCGGACCGGGGCUGCUCCAGCUGCCGGUGGCGGUGGCCGCACCUCCUGCACCGAGCGCCGAGCGGGCGGCGGCGUCGCGCGGGACGGGAGGAGCGGUCCCCCGGGGCCAGAAUGGUUGCCUGGGAAAGACAGCACUGCUGUGUUGGCAGAAUACAGCAAAUUUUACUGCGAUUCAGGAUUGCUUUCCCAGUCCUUCUAUUUCAUUUAUUCUUGGCUGCAGCAGACAGAGGUAAGA
rnacentral:lncRNA from 1 species